rnacentral:tRNA from 4 species
AGUGGUAAAACUAGCCUUCCAAGCUAACG